GCCCGGGUGGCUCAGUCGGUUGAGCGUCCAACUUCGGCUCAGGUCAUGAUCUCCCAGUUCGUGGGUUCAAGCCCCGCAUCCGGGCU
rfam:Felis catus isolate Cinnamon breed Abyssinian chromosome B4, whole genome shotgun sequence.